UCACUACUUGCGUAGGCAGUUGGUCUAGAGUUCCCACCAUUACGUGCUGGCAACAUAGAACGUGGGUUGCGCUCGUUGCGGGACUUAACCCAACAUCUCACGACACGAGCUGACGACAACCAUGCACCACCUGUAUACGAGUGUCCAAAGAGUUCUGCAUUUCUGCAGCGUUCUCGUAUAUGUCAAGCCUUGGUAAGGUUCUUCGCGUUGCAUCGAAUUAAUCCGCAUGCUCCGCCGCUUGUGCGGGCCCCCGUCAAUUCCUUUGAGUUUCAGCCUUGCGGCCGUACUCCCCAGGCGGGACACUUACUGCGUUAGCGACGGCACCGAGGGGGUCGCUCCCCCCGACGCCUAGUGUCCAUCGUUUACGGCGUGGACUAC
rnacentral:misc_RNA from 1 species